UAGAAAGAGAGAAAUCAGAAUUUGAGAAUUGGAGAAGUUAGCAGAGGAGAAGAAAAGAAGCGUGAAAGAGAGAAGGGGAGAAAAGAGAAGAAAAAACCUAGAAUUUGAUCUUCAAGAGGUACAGGAGGUAGAGAUGUGGCUCAUGAGGAGUAGCUUCGGAGAGUCUUAGCUUAUGUUAUUAUUAUUAUUAUUAUAAAAUAAGUGUCUUGCUCUGUAAUGUAACACUGGUUAGAUAUUUUACGUUACUUUUACAUUUAUGUUGAGAGGAUUUUAUAAUCUCUUCUUAUGGAAGUUGUUGAAUAAUUUUCUAAAUGAUGGCGAUGUCGUACUGUUGACGGCCGAAGUGCUUAUGAAAUUCAGUUCUGAGUA